rnacentral:lncRNA from 1 species
AACAUAACAGAGCUCGAGAUAAACGUCUCACUGAGUAGGCCUCUCACCCUCAUCUCUCUUCACUGCCCUUCCACACAGACAGGAGAGGAGUAAUGGCCAUGGCUGCCCUGGGCCUCUCUCUGCAGGAUGCAGGCAGCUGCCGUCGGUGGAAGCUUUAAGUUCAGAAAUAAAGGCCAUAACCUGCCGAGCGUAUUUGUAGUAAGAUGCCAUACAAAUUCAAGGAACCAUCUGUGGGAGAAGGCUGACACACAUAUUUAUUUCUUCCAACUAGACCUAUGGUGCAACACAUCCACUAAAUCUGUAAUCCAGAGCGUUUAUUUACUGUGUGUAGGUGUCACUUAGAAGCAGGCACCUUCAUUUAAAAAGACAAAACAAAAAUCAGGUUCGUCUCAUGGAAGAACAUUCUACAGACUGUGGACAGAGGAAGUCUUUUCUGUUACCGGAGAGCAAGCCCAUGCACCGAACGGAGCACUCUUGCUCUCUUGUAGUCUCAUCCUUGAGCAGGAAAGCAGAGCUGUAUCACAUGUGAAUCUGAAGGACAAAAGCAGCUCUGGAGACGCCAAGCAAUAGUCUACGUUACAGGUUUAACACACUGCUUUAAUUUCAUUGGAAAAAAAUAAUGAACCCGGAGAAAAGUAUUUAUGGAACUGGAGGAGAGCAUAUUUUGCUGGUUUUACUUUAUGUUUGAAGUUUUGGGGAUAGCUCUGCCCAUAAAUACUGAAAUGCCUAGCAUAAAGAACGCAGCCUGGGGCAUACCCCAUAAAACGUACAGUGCAAUUAAACGAGCAAUUUCCACUGGAAAUAAAACGGGCAUGUUGAGCGGAAUAUGAAUUAAA